rfam:Schistosoma rodhaini strain Burundi genome assembly, scaffold: SROB_contig0002749
AUCCAUCUUACAAAUCCCAAAUAGGACGAAACGCGCUUCCUGGAU